rfam:Stegodyphus mimosarum contig46307, whole genome shotgun sequence.
GCCUUCGUGGCGUAGUGGUCAGCACGCUCGACGCGAAGUCAAGAGGUCCGUGGUUCGAGUCCCGGCGAGGGCA